rnacentral:lncRNA from 1 species
AGGAGGAGCCAUGAUCGAUUACAGGAUAAAGAGGAGUUUGACAGAAUCAAAUAGAUUAACAGAGCCAUGACUAGUUACAGAAUGAAGAGGAGUUUGAUGGGAUAUUUGAGGGUAAUUUAGUCUUUCUCAUAUAGAUUAACGGUGCAAUAGGUAUAAAAUAGACGAAAGUCCUUUUAUAUUCACAGAAUUAAACUAUGGGGACAUUUUAAUGUAAUGCAAUACAAAGAUAUUUUAAUUAAUAAGGUCAAGCUAUAGGGUCACAGUAGUAAUUACCCCUUUUUCAUUAACUGUAUACUAUUUUCUGUUCUUAAUGCUGAUAUUCUUUAUAAUGUCUUGUUUCACUCUAAAUCUUUGUUUUCUUUUGAAACUUAUAUCUUUUGUAGUACUUGUUUUGUGCUAGAUGUUUGUGCACAGGCUGCAAAAUUGGAUUCAAAGUCUCUUUUCUAUGUCUUUCUUGGAUAUUCUCUUCUUCAAAAAGUGUUUAGGUGUUUCUCUCCAGCAUUUAAUCAUUGUCUUGUUUCUACAGAUUUCACAUUUUUUGAAUCUACUCCAUUUGAUCUUCUUUCAUUUAUUUAUGAGUCAUGGGGAUGAACAUGAUCUUUUGGUUUACAUUGUUCAACAAAGUAUCCAGUCCUCAGCAUCCUCUCGUGCCAACACCUCUUCUUCGUCCUAUUGUUUAUCUCUAUUCCAAGAAGAUUUUCCACCAGUUUCUUUGUUGGAAGGUCUAGUCCAAUCCCAUCCACCCCUCCUUAGUUUGAUCUAGAUCUUCCCAUUGGUCUUUGCAAAGGGAAGCGAUGAUGUACUUAUCCUAUCUCUUCUUUUAUCUCUUAUGAUCAAUUGUCUCCAAAAUCCCAUUGUUUUUUUCUAGUUCACCUUAUUUCCAUUCUUAAACUAUUAGCAAGGCUAUACAUGUUGAUUGGAGUCUUACUAUGCAUCUCACCCUUUUUGGCAUUAUGCAAUGAAAGAGGAAAUAGUGGCUUAAAUGUCAAAGGUACUUGGAAAUUGAUCUCUCUAUCUUCAGAUAAAAAGGUUAUUGAUAAGGGUACCCUCAAGUUGAUGAGCUUGACUAUUCUGGUAGCUUCUCUUCUAUUGUUUAUUUAUUGCUAGGCAGCUACUUUUAAUUGGUCCUUACACUAGGUAGAUAUAAAAAAUACUUUCCUCCAUAGUAAUCUUUAAGAGGAGGUUUACAUUUAGGUUUAAAUUUACACCUGGUUUUGUUGCUUAUGGGGAGUAGGAUAAAGUUUGCUAACUUCAGAAAACUUUGUAUAGCUUGAAACAAAACUGUGGGACUUAGUUUAAAAGAUUCAAUGAGGUAGUACAACAAUUUAAUAUGCAUAAGAGUUAAUUUAAUCAUUUGGUAUUUUACAAAAGUUCUAAGUCUAGCCUAAUCUUACUUGUAGUCUAUGUUGACGAUAUUGUCAUUAUUGGAAGUGACUCUAUGACAAAGUGUAGCUAAGUACUACUCACACGCUUGUGAGGAAGAAUAAGUCUGAGAGAAAUUUUAUAUUGUACUAUUUUAUUGAAGUGAAAAUAAAUUGCCCUAGCAUAAGAUAAUGAGGUAUUUAUAGAGUUUAAUUCCCAUAAUUAGGAUAGAAAUAGAAUUCUAUAAUUUAGGAAGACAAUUUCUAACAAAAUAGGAAGAUACUAAUUCUAACUAAUGUAAAAUUUACAAAAUAGCUUCCUAAAUAAAACAAAAGACUCUUAAAACUAAUCUAUACAUUGUAGAAAAGCUAAAAUGGGAAGUUUAAAUAACAUAAUAAUAAAAAGGAAGAAAUCUCGAUCAAAAUAGGCGAACAGCUAGUGCCUCUCAGAGUCAGGCGCACCCUGGGGUGUGCUGCUGAUCUUCUGCAGCCCUAUUCUUUGAGCACUUCGGUUCCCCUUUCCUUCCUUGUUGCUGGUGCCAAUUCUCCAUGAAUAGGACACUUAGUUCCUUCACAUCAAUCUCCUCUGUUUGGGAAAAACUCGACCUUGAGUUGAAGUUUUCAAUAGGAUAUAAGGGCUUACCCAUGGAAUGGAAAGAAUAUAAAUCAAUAAUAUUGUAAGUCCUUGACAUUUUCAAAUUUUCUGGCAAAUCAACAACAUAGUCAUUAUUAUUGAUCUUGUGAACAAUUGCACAAGGACCGUACUUAUUUAGUUUUAGCUUGUUAUAGGUGCCUUAUAGGAAAUUUCUCAUGCCUUGGGAACAUUAUUACCUUGUCCCCAAUUUCAAAUACUUGUUUCCUUUUAUGCUUAUUAAUAACAUCCUUAUACUUAUUGUUAGUCUCUUCAAGUUUCGAUUUUACCUCUUGAUGUACUUUAACAAUUUGUUUAGCCAUGUAUUUAGCUAUCACAUUCUUUCCUUCCACUUUUAGUGAGUUCGUCAAAUUAAGUGUAUGUUGAGACACUUUAGUAUAGACUGUUGAAAAUGGUGAUCUUUCAAUAGCAGUAUGGAUGGUACAAUUGUCAGCAAAUUAAGCUUGUGGUAAAGCAACAUCCUCCUGCAUUAGUUUAUCCGUAUCCCUACAAAUGCUUCAAAUCAAGUUUCUCAAGGUGCAAUUGACCACUUUGGUUUGACUGUUACUUUGAUGUGUAAUGCUACUGAAAUUCAAAGAAGAGUCAAAUAAUUUUCAUAAGGUUCUUUAAAGGUGAUCCAAGAACUUACUAUUUCGGUCUAAAGUGAUGGAUUUUGGUAUGCCAUGCAAACACUAUUUCCUUGAACAAUUUGGUAAUAUGAAUCGUAUUGAAAGUUAUCUUAUAAGGAAUAAAGUGUGCCAUUUUUGAAAACCUAUCAACAACAACAGACACAAAAUUCACUCCUCUUUGUAUUCUUGGUAAGCUCAACACGAAAUCCAUAAAAAAAUCUUCUUAAAUAUUUUUAGGAACAGGUAAAGGCAUGUACAAAUCAGUAUUAUAGGAUUGUCUUUGGAUUUUUAGCAAGUGUAACACUUCAUGAUAAAUUUUGUUAUAUUUUGCAUAAUUGAGACCAAUGAUACCUCCCUUCCAUCUUUCCAAGUGCCUAGCUAGUCCUCCUCCAUAUAAGUCACGAAUCACCUUCCCUUAAAGAGGUUUGAGGAAUGCAAAGCUGGUUCUUAUGCAUCAAAUAUCCAUCAAACACAUAAAAAUUAUCAAUAGGAUGGACAUAAGAACACUUGUCUCAUAUUUCUCCAAAAUCUCAGUUGGAAUGCUCUUAUCUCUUCCCAAGUGUCUAGCUAGUCCUCCUCCAUGUAAGUCACAAGUCGCCUUUUCCCUUAAGAAGGUUUGAGAAAUGCAAAGCUAGUUCUCAUGUAUCAAAUAUCCAUCAAACACAUAGAAAUUAUCAAUAGGAUGGACACGAGAACACUUAUUCCAUAUUUCUCCAAAAUCUCAUCGUCGGAAUAGAGUUCUUUUUAGUUGUUUGAACCCCACAAUCUCAUUGCUCAAUGUCAUUGUCUCCUGUUUACUCUAAGCAUCUAUCAUUCGAUUUUGAACUCCAGAUUUGUGCUUAAGUCGAUAAGAAAAUUUUUGCAAAAAUUGACACCACCUUGUGCGUAUGUCUUUUCUAAUCUUCUUUUGGCCAUUGAUGUAUUUUAGAACUUUAUGGUCAAGAUACUGGACAAACUUUUUUCCUAUUAAAUAAAGCUCCCAAGUUUUAAAAGCACGAACCAUAAAGUAGAAUUCUUUAUCAUAGGUGCUAUACUUUCUCCUAGCACCACUUAGUUUCUCACUAAAAUAUACUAUCGGUCUUUUUUUGGGAUAAAACAACACUUAUCCUAACUCUACUUACCUCAUAAUUUACUUCAAAUAGCUUAUCAAAGCAAGGUAAAGUUAACACUAGUGCUCUGCAGUGCAACUUUUUUUUUUAAUUAAUUUUUUUUUGAAGGACGUUAAAGCUAUAUGAGACUUUUUCACUCCAUUGGAACUUCCUUUUGUUCAAGCACUCGAUUAUCAAUGCUGCAAAUGGUGCUAAAAUCUUUGAUAAAGAACGCCAGUAGAAGAGCGCCAGUAGAAAGUGGCGGACCCAUGGAAAUUUCGUAUAGUCAACAUAUCAGUUGGGAUUGGCUACUCCUUUAUUUAUUUUUAUUUUUUGCUUCAGCAACAUGAAUCUUUCACUUACAACAUAUCCCUACAAUGGUAGUUUGUUAAUUAGGAAACUACUUUUCUUGAAGUUGAUGUGUAAUUUGUUGUCCUGCAAGACAUCAAGACCUUUUCCAAGUACAUUAAAUGUUCAUCUUCCGAGUUGCUAUACAUGAAGAUAUCAUCAAAAUAUACAAUUACAAACUACUCGAUAAAGAGUUUUAAUACCUGAUUAAUCAACCUUAUGAAAAGUACUAGCCUACUAGGUGCAUUGGACAAUCUAAAUGACACAACAGGCCAUACAUGAAUCCUUUCUUUUGUUUUAAAUGUAGUUUUCCACUCAUUUGCUAGCUUAUUCAAAUUUGAUGGUAGCCAUUUUUCAAAUCUAGCUUAGUAAACUAUUUAGCACUAUGUAGUUGCUCCAUCGUAUUUUCCAAUAUAAGAACUGAAAAUUUAUAGCCCAUUGUGAUCUUGUUGAUGGCGCGACUAUCUACAUAUUUUCCGACUUCCAUCCUUCUUAGGUGCUAGUAAUGCAUGAUAACACCUGGACUAAUGCUCUCUUUGAUUACUCCCUCCUGCAAGAGCUCCUCACUUUCUCUUUAAGUAGCUCACUCUCCUUUGUAUUCAUGUGAUGGUGUAGCAAGUUUGGGAAACUUGCACCUGGGUUAAGGAAAAUUUGAUGUUAAAUAUUUUGUGUGGAAGGUAGUCCAUCCAUUAUUGUCUUCCAUUAUCAACUAUUCUCUUCAAAUUCUUUUAACAAUGGUCGAGGAUCAUCCACUUGUGGCUUUGACUCUUCCAAUAGUACUUGUUUUACCACUGAAAACAUCGGUUAGGAUAGGGGUAAUAUGCCCCUUAUAAGGGUUUUAGGCACCUCUCCUCUUGAGGUAGCCUUUGGGUGAGUUCGGUCUAACUCAAAUUUAACAUGGUAUUAGAGCCUUCUCCUUUUGAGCUAGCAUUUGGGUGAGUUGGGCCUAACUCAAAUUUAACAUAGUAUUAGAGCCUUCCCACCGAUGUUGGCCCUUCCUUUAAUAUUUCAUGCUUCAGUGAAGUUCUAAGCAGCGUGAUGGAGCGUGUUAAAUCCCACGUUAAUUUGGAAUAAGAGGAAAUGUGCCUCUUAUUAGGGGUUUAGGCACUCCUCCCCUUUGAUCUAGCUUUUGGGGUGAGUCAGGCUUAAUCUAAAUUUAACAAUAUGUGUUUUAUUUCUUUCCAAUAGUAAAAAUAAGAUAUUGUUGUUUUAUUAGUUUUUCUUUCCAAUUUUCUGUAAAAAUAGAUCAUGCAUUUGUUUUACUAGAGAUUUAAGUCUUAUUGUUUAACUCCAUCUGCUACAUACAAUUUUAAUUAUUUAUGGGUUUCUAUGAUUUGAAAGCCCUAGUAUUUCAAUUGCUUGCCACAUAAUGCAAUUAUUAUUUGUCAACCCCCUUAUCUAUGCGAGGUACUUUUGUAUUCAUCAUAAAGCUAAAUUUGGUUUGUGAUAUUAGUCGCUUCAUGUUCCUUUCUUAUAUGCAUAAGUUUCAUAUAUAGUUCAGAUGUGUUGUUAUAGAUUACUGUCGUCACUUCUACUUAUUAUUUCAGGUGGUUGAAAAUUAUAAAGACUUUGCAUUCUCCGAUUAUGCAAGAGUGGGAAGAGCGCUGGCACUUUAUGAGAUUGGAGACAAAGAUGAAGCGAUUGCUGAGAUGGAGGAUGUUUCCAUAUCUUUGAAGGGAUAUCCAGGUAUCUGUUAAGAUUUUGCAUUUCAAGGCUAUGCUGACAACAUGACAUGUUAGCUUUAAUAUGUUGUCUUAUAGAAGCUAUUGUUUUUGAAUUUUUCGUAUGAUGUUUUCCUAUUUAACUAUAAAUUUCUUGAUGCGGUCGACAGAAGUACAUGCAGCUCUUGCAGCAGCAUUAUACGUGGACAAGCAUGCCCCUCUGCUAGCAGAAAAUCAGUUCACAAUUGCAACUCUGCUUGAUCCUCACUAUACAGACCUUUCAUAUGUAAAAGAAACUAAACAUUGGCCUCCAAGUUUGGUCAGUUCUUUGCAACGUUUCAUCACUCUGUCCUAGAAAUAUGAAUUAUACAUACAAGACUUAAGUUGAAUGCAUGAAUAUCAUACUUAUCAGUUACAAAACAAUCUUUUAUUACCAUUUUGUAUCUGUAUUCUUUCCUUCAUUUUGUUUCUUGGAGAAAGGAGGGGUGGGGGUGGCUGUGAGACAAAUUAGUUGGUAUGUGUAUAGCACAUUAGCUUAUAAACGUGAUGUUCAAAUUUGGAAUACCAAUUCUAUAGUUGAUGGGCAUUAUUCUGCUAAUGCCUAAAGCCUAAUAUUAGAUAAAGUCUCAUCUGAACCUCACUUCUUGCUUUGAAUUGGUGUUGUUUUUCUAUUUGAUAAUUCUCUUAAUACCUAUCAAGUACUUACUGGGGACUGGUGAGCUAAAAUCGCAAAAGGGAAUCUUCUGGGCCUUUCAUUCAUAGGCUUGCUAAAGUCUUGUUGUAACACCCUAAUUUAUUUGGAAAUAAUAUUUACGAUUAUUAUUAGAGAUAAAAUUCGAUAAUAAUUUGAGAAUGAAUUUUAAAUUAAAUCCGGAUAAAAAUAAAAGUUUCAAAAAUUUGAAUAACUAAAAUGAUUUUUCUUAGUUAAAAUGUUGGGAUUAAAAGUGUAAAUUUCCUUAAAAGGACACUCUUCGUGUUCAAGUCACGGGCUUUUGUUUUGUCCAUACAAUUUUAAAAAAUAAAUUGUAGUGUGCAGGUCAAUUGUUUAUAAAAAAAGUAAAUUGAGUUAAUUAAUUUUGAGUCAAGCCAAAAAUAGUAUAAAAAAUCAUUUACUUCGGUUUGAGUUGAGAACUAUUACAAUUGCUAUAAGAACUAGUCUGAAUUAGAUAAUUGAGCAUAAUUAGUAGGCUUAUGAGAAAAUGGCUAUCUGUGCGAGACGAGAUGAAACCGUUAAACAUUAACGAAUCACAAUAUUCAAAGACUCAGUCCUGAUUUAACAAUUAUACCCAUUCGAAUGCAUCACAAAAUUGAGUAAGAGAGAUGUAAUGUUCACAUCAAUUAUUUAAAAAAAAGUAACUUUUAGACUAAAUAAAAAAUGAAUUCAGAAAUUAUUUGAAUUCAUUAUAACAAUCCGCGGUUACACUUGUCUAUAUUAAAAUUUGCUCUCAUUUCACCAAGAUCAUAUUUUUUUUUAUUUAUAAUGUCAGUCUAGAUGGGUUUUAGGCCCAUAAUUUAAAACGGAGCGAUUAGUUUUAGAUUUUAUGAUAGAUUUGAAUUGGAUCUAACUUUUGUUGCCGACGUUCAAGAUCCGCGAUAACUUUUCAAAAAAGGAAUUUCGAAAUGCAACUUUCAAAAGUGUGACGAAGGCUACAUGCCUAUCAUAAAAUUCGAGAUGAAAAUUUCACAGUUUAAGAGGUUAAUUUUAAAUUUUAAUUAUUUUUUUAAAUAUUUUUAUAAUUUUAUAUAUUAGAAUUUUUUCUAUUAUAAAUAGGGUUUUUUAUUUGAAACUCAUUUUUCAAUCUUUCAAAAAUUUCAAUAUGAUUUUUUGAUUUCUAACCUCUCAUUUUUAUUAUAUCAUCUUAAUCGAGCAUUAUUAGUUAAAACUUCCGACGAAAUCUAAUAAAUUUAUUAUCAUAAUUACUCUUUCUAGUAGCUGCAUUUUAUGAGCUGCCAAACAAUCUGAAACCACUUGUUAGGAAUAGAGAAAGCUCAAAAUGUCAAGAAGUAUUGGAAGAGCCUUGCAAGUUGCAAGAAUUCUUGCAAGCAUGUUGAUUAACCCUUGUUUCAAGACAAGCUUUUCUUUCUUGUUGCGUUAUCAGAACGAAACUGCCAAGUCUUUGUGUCCGGAUAGAAAUGAAUCUAGAUUUCUAAAAAUGAAAACACCAGCUUUUGGCAUUUUACCUAAAAGCAUUAAUUUCUGUUCUGUGAGAUCGAAAAUCCAGCGCAUAGGUGCAUUUUUUUUUUUUAAAAAAAAAAAAAAAAGAUAAUUUGUAAUACUUUCAGAAAUUUAAUAAAAUUCACACUUCUUACUAUUUUAAUAGGAAAUAAUUUAGUACUUAAAAGUUCAAUUUUAUUAAUAAAAUAAUCAUUUCGAUAAAAUUUAUUAUUAAAUUAUUACAAUUUCUUCAUUUCAAUUUUAUUUUUUACAACAAUUUAAUCCUUUAAUUUUAGAAAUAAUUAUUAAAAACAUAUUAUAUUUUACUAUUCUUUUUAAUUAUACUCUAUAUUUUAAAAAUAACCAAUUUAAGCAUAUAUUUUUAAAACUUUCAUCAAUUAUACCCAAUUGCUAAUAAAACUGUUAAUUCACUAAUAAAAAUAUCAUAUCAUUACUAAAUCGUCACAAUAUAAUACGAAAUUAUUGCUAAAAAAGUUAUCUUUCUACAAUUAUUUGUAAUUUUACUAUAUAUUUUAAAAGUAACCGAUUUAACUCUAUAUUUUUAAAGUGAUUAAAAAAAUUGCUAUUCCACCAUUGGCAAUGCCACAUCUUUUUUGUCGAAGAUGGAGAUACCGUGUCGUUGCUACGUUAUCAUAUUAUCGCUACUAUUCUCAUAAUAUAAUAUGAGAUUAUUACACUUAUAUUGUAUUUACGUUUAUAAAAUAAAUAUUAAAAUUCAUAAAAGCUUAAUUAGUAAUUUUAUAAGGUAAAAAUAUUAAGUUUGCCUCUAAAUUAUAUAGCCAGAGAUAAAAAUAUCAAAUUUUAUAUUUCAGUUUAAAUUUGUCCAUAAAUUAUUAUUAAAUUAUUAAAUAAGUCCAAAUAAAAUUAAAUAGUUUGAGAAAAAUAUAGUUCAUACUCUGAAAUCCUGAUAAUAAUAAUCUCAUGUAACCUCUGAAAUCCUGAUAAUAAUAAUCUUAUGUAACCUUUUAAAUAUAGUUUAUGGAUAAAUUUAUAAUAAAAAAUGAAAAUUUAAUAUUUCUUAUCUGCUUUAUAGUUUAGGGAUAAAUUUUACUUUUCAAUCCAUUUUAUAGUAUGAUUGCAUCGUGUUUCCAUUAAUAACUUAACAAUGAAUUAAGGAUUUUUUAACGGUUGGGUAGAAUUGGUGAAAUUUUAAAAGUAAUUAUUUCUAAAAUAUAAAGUAAAAUUGCAAAUAAUUAUAAAGUGCAAAAUUUUUUUAUAAUUAUUUUGUAUUGUAAUGAUUCGGCGAUAAUGUAAUAUUUUUGUUAGUUGAUUUAUGAUUUUUUAACAGUUGAAUAUAAUUAAUAAAAGUUUAAAUUAACUAUUGUUAAAGUAUAUAAUUGCAAAAAAUUAUAAGGUAUAGAUUUUUUUGUAAUUAUCUCUUAAUUUUAAUAAUUUAUAAUAAUUUAAUUCUUAUAGUUUGAAUAUUUAUAAUAAUUUAGUUUCUUUAAUUUGAGUUGAAUUUUUUAAUUAGCAGUUAAUUAAUGAUAAAUUUAAUAAAAAAUUAUUUUAUUAAUAAAAUAAAAAUGCAAGAUUUAAUUUGUUAACUAUUAAAAAAAAUAAACACUAAUACUUGAAUUUUAAAAUAUAUCUAAUAUCAUAUGCCGACAUGUUACUGUCCAGACUGACAAUUGUUCCAGUAACUUUGACCUAUGUAAAAUUUUGUACAGAGGCUAAUCAAUUCUAACUUGACAUUAGCCUUUUCUAACUUGAUGUGUAACUCCAAGUAUCACUAUAAAAAAUUACAUAAAUAUUGAAAUCAUUACAAAAUAUUUUAUUUUUAUCAUCAAAAGUUUAUUAUGACAAAAUAUUAUUGUAACAGCAACUGUUAUUGUAACCACAUAAUAAAAUGUAUACUAUAAUAAAUAUUAUUAUCCUUAUGAAAAAGAAUUUUUUUUUAUAAUAAAAUUAUUAAUUACCAUAAAAUUGUAUAUCUUUAAUAACAUAUAAUUCAUUAUAAUUUAUAUCUACUUUUUAUCAUUAUUGUUUUUACUGGGCAUUAAAAAUGUAAUAUUGUAUUUAUAAAUUAUUUAUUUGAUUUUUUUUUGAAAUGGAUUAUUUGGUCAUUAAAUAAUUAACUCUUUUAUUUAAAAUAUUUUCUAUUUGUAAAAAUUAUUUUCGACGCAGGUUUCUCUAUGUGGUCCUUUUGUGACUCGAUAUUCUUGCCUUUUCCUUUUCUUUAAAUCUAAUUUUUUCUUUCCCCUUCCCCAUAAAAGACGAUCUGCGUCAAUUGACUAUCGAUGAAAAAGAAAAUGUUGUUGUCCCUAUUAAGAGUUUCAGAGAUAUUUCGAUCGUCACUUAUAAUUUCUAUAUGGUGAAGAUAUUUCUCACAUACAAUCCAAUUAAUUUUCAAAAUAUGUAGACCUCAUUUAUGAGGUCCUUUAGAGGGGUAUUUAUUAUGAAAUUAGAGGCAAAAAGAUAUCUGUUUCGAUUUUUUAAUAAUGUUGAUUUUGAAAAUAUAGGAAAUGGAGGCUCUUGGUUGUAUAAUCAAUUCCUGCUUGUUUGAAAUGAGAUACGAAGAAAUGAAAAUCUUCUCCAUAUUCCAUUAAUUCAUUCUGAUUUUUGGGUUCUGAUUAAAGACCUCCCAUCUGGUUAUUAUAACGAGACGUUAGCUAAAUUGGUCGGAGAUUUUGUUGAUCACUAUAAAGAGUAUGAUAUGAAAAAUGCUUCAGCUAUGUCGCCGGGCCCUAUGAGAGUUAAAGUUUGCUUGGACAUUCGGCAAUUUUUAAAACGGCAGAAAAAGUUUAUUGGAGAUGAUAGUAUUGUAUUUACCGUAAAGUUUUAAUACGAAAAACUGACUAUUUUUUGCUAUCUAUAUGGGAAAAUGGGUCAUGUGGAGACUUUCUGUGAUUUGCAGCUGAGGUUGAAGAAAAAAGAUAUCAAGUUUGAUUGGGGUGAUUUCCUCAGAGCACCUAUUUGUCGAAACCAGAGACCGACAAGCCUAUAGUUGCGUGAUUCAGGCAAUUUUGCUCCUCCAAAAUUUAUGGCAAGAUUGACAUUAACUAGCAAUUUUGAAAACACUAAUUUGACAGUACAUAAUAAGUAAUUCUUUUUAUUUGGCAAAAGUCAUAAUAUUAUUCUAGUUAGUCAUACUUUGGUUAGAGAAUCUAUUAGAUCUGUUUGGGAUGAUAUCUCUAUUUAUUUGAUAAAAUUUUAUUAAUAAUUUUACUUUAAAAAAAAUAAAAAACUAACUCUUUUAUAGAAAAAAAUUAAUUAUUAUAAAAUAUUAUUUUAAUAACGUAUAUUUUAUCAUAAUUUAAUAUAAAUUUUAUCAUUUAAUUAUUCAUUUCUACCAUCAAAAUUUAUAUUAUCAAUUAUGAAUUAUAAAUUUCGUUACCAAAUAAUUGACUAUCUAUUAUAAAAAAAAAUUAAUUAUCAUAUAAUAUUAUCUUUUUAGCGAUAUAUAUAUUGCCAUACUUUAAAUCUAACUUUUAUCUUUAAUUAUUCUUUUACUCAUUAAAAAUUUAUAUUUUUAAUUACAAAUUAUUUAUUUUAUCAUAAAAUAUUAUAUAUUUAAUGGCGAUAAUAAAUAUCAUUAUUUUUAAAUUAUAAUCAUGCUAAUAAAUGAAACCUUUUAAAUUAUUUGUCAUAAUAUCUAUAUAUUUUAAAUAAUGUUAUUUUAUUAUUAAAACAUUCAUUUGGUGGUAUUUUUAUUUUUUAUAUAAAAAUAUUAAAAAUAAUACAAUUUAAAUUUAAAUUACUUGUCAUCAUUAAUAAUAUAAUUAACUUGUUAAAUAAUAUUUAAUUUUGAUGUAAAAAUAAAAAAUAAAAAAUAAAAAUAAAAUUAUAUCAAAAUAUAAUAGGAAGAAAUAAUACUAAAAAUUAUUAAAGAAAAAUUAUAAUAACAUCCACGCAAUAUUCAAUUUAACAAUCUAGUAAAAUAAAUCUAGUAAAAUAUCUAAAAUGCCAAAUAUGUAUACAUUAAUUGUUUAAUAUUUUAAAUUAUCAAAUCUUUAAAAAAAAAAAUAACAUUUCAAUCUUAAAAUUUGAAGUAUUAAGUUUUCAUGUAAAAAUUAAAACAAAUAGAAAAUUCUUAAUUAUAGCAAUAAUAUAUACAUAUUAUCUAGAGGGAACUCAAAGUAUAUGAAAUAGGAUAAAUUGAUAUAAAAAAAACCUCAACAAAACUACCAAUAUAGGCAGCCAAUAGAAGUAUUAAAAAACCCACUGUUCAUGCUCAAUCUAAAAACUAUAUAAACAAAUAGUACAAGAAAACCCAAUUAUUCUCAACAACCAAGCAAACAACUGUUCACAACUUACAACAUCGCCAGUACACUCAUGAACAACCAUAAGCCAACCAUUGUUAUUAAAAAGCUCACACAACAAAACCAACAAUACGACAUCUAGCCCUAAUCAUUAUUCAGGAAAACACCAAACCACAUUAUUCCUAUCACCAAUAGACCAGCAGAACAAACCAAAAACUCCCUUGUAAGUAAUAAUAUACCUAGAAGCUUCAAACAAACAACCGUACUGGGAGACAACCUACAUCAUCCAAAGAUAUACCCAUUUGACCAAGGCAAUGUCUACUCAACUAAUCCAACUCUAUCACCAUAUUCAUAUACAAUUAACAAGUGUCUCUUUUGUUACCUAUAAAUCUACCGAAAAUUUGGUAGAAUCUUUCCUAAAAUUUGGACAUUUUUUAUUUUUCAACACAACUCAAUCUAAAAAAAAUAUGCAAUCAUGGCCUGCACAAAUUUUAUAAUUUCCUCUUUUACACUCCCAUCAAACUCAUGUGAAUUUUUCUUUUCCCGGAUACUAACAAAACUCAUACGAGACUUCCACAGCUAAAAUAAUUUGACAAAAUAAUCUACUAAUUUAUUCAUUAUCGUUACACUUUGCAUAGAAAAACUAUAACAAUAGGUAAUCUAAGAAGGCAUUCUCUCUAAAUUACUUAUUAUUGAAUACUCUAAUCUGAUUCAAAUAAAAUAAACAAUUCAAAAAAUCCUUUAAUGAACUAAUUUUAAUUCUUCUGAAAUUUAAAUUGGCAUCUUUUAAUGACUGUCAUGAAUAGUCAAAGCAAUAAGCAAACAUCUAAAAAUAAACUGGAAUAUAAUAAAAGGAAUAGCACAUUUUGAACACAAUGGUGAAUAUCUAGCAAAGCAAGAAACGUGAGACCUGUUCAUGAAAUUUUAUUCUUGUAGAAAGCAAAUCAACCGUAUAUUUACCGAUCUCAGAACAAAUCAGAAAUAAAUAAAUAAGCAAAUAAAAAAAAAAGACAAGAAACCUUCAUUUUACAGCAAUCAAUCUAAAAAUGGAGAAGAACAAUGGUUUAAUCAUUUGAAGCCGCUCACAACACAACUAUAUAGAAUGCAAUUGCGCACCGAACACUUGUAAUUAAGCAGUUACCAACAAUAUAUGUUCAAAACAGCAUCACAAAAUAGAAAAUUAAUAGGAUCAACUCAUAUUUGCAUAAACACAGUCCUAAGGGACAAAAAUGCAAGGAUUUGAAGUAUACGCACAGUCAAAUCUGUGGCUUUAACAAAUUCCGAAGCUGAGUAGGACAAGCAGCUGGUUUGGAGUAGGGACGAUUCAAACUCGCUAGAAGAAACAAAGUCUGCGACACCGUUGAGCAAGAGAAAUUUGGUCACUGAUAUUGAUUAAGAGCUUUGGGGACGCGAUUAUAGGAUAAUAAAGGUGUUGUGUGAUUUCUGUUACGGAGGUAAAGACAAUAGGUGUGCGAUUGAGCUCUAUGGGUAUGACGUGCUUCUGGUCUAUGCAGCGAUGGGCCUGUGUUGCAAGGUGAUGGCAAGGGGAAGGUCGACUCGCUGGUGCAUCACCGUCUAUUUCGCUGGUGGACGAACGAUGAUGUUGAUGGGAAUAGUCGGUGGUGAUGAAAGGGCUGGGGCUGUAUAGGUUAAGAUAAAUAGUGAUUUGGGUUCUGUCAAUGUGUGAUUUUAUGGAAAGGAAGCAUGGGAAUGAUAAGCAGGAUCUAGUCGUAAGCUGCUUCGGGCGUGAACUUGGGUCGUCGAAGGCACAAUGAAGAGGGAAAUGGGUAGGGGAGGAGCCAUUGGAGUGAGGUCGGAUGAUGUGGUGGUGAGGCUAGCGAUAUGAAGCUGGGUCUGUUGUGGGUACAGGAAUGUUGGUGAAGGAGAAGGUGGGUGUUGAACUUGGUUGUCGUGGGGUUGUUGGUGAAAGCAGGUGGGUCUCCUAGAAGGAGGAAGAUGAGUACGAGUGUUUGGGGGAUAUAAGGUGCGUCGUUUUGGAAAUCAAGGGGUAAGGUUUUGAGAUUAAAAUAAAUUUUUUUUUUCUUUCACUUUUUUUCUUUUUUUUUUAAAUUUAAAUUAAAACUAAAAUGUUAAUUCAUCUAAAAUAAAAAAAAUCAAUAAAAUAUUAGAAUUAAUGGCGAAUGAUUUGAAAUUUAAUAAAAUUAAUAUUUUGUAAGAAAAAUAUAACUAACUAAAAAUUGAUUAGAAUCUAAAUUUAAAAUCAUUUUUUUUAUUUUUACUUUUUAAUUCUUUUAUCAUAUUACCCAAAUAAAAUAUGGUGUUGACAAUAGAUAUAAUUGGAGAAUGAAAUUAAAAAAGAGAAAUGGAGUGGGGAGAGCAGAUGAGGGAAGGAAAUAGUGACAAUAUGAGAUGAGCACCGAGUCACAAUACUAUUAAAAAAAAUUCAACCACAAAUUUUACAAAUAGUUUACCUAAAAAAAAAUUUCAUUUAAUUUCAAUUUAGCUCCAAAAUAAAAAAAAAAUAAACCUAUUAAUUAAAUUUUG